rnacentral:rRNA from 1 species
GACGUAGGGCGCGAGCGUUGUCCGGAUUUAUUGGGCGUAAAGAGCUCGUAGGCGGCUUGUCGCGUCGAAUGUGAAAUCCCGUGGCUCAACUGCGGGUCUGCAUUCGAUACGGGCAGGCUAGAGUCGGUAGGGGGAUCUGGAAUUCCUGGUGUAGCGGUGAAAUGCGCAGAUAUCAGGAGGAACACCGGUGGCGAAGGCGGGUCGCCUGGGG